rnacentral:RNase_P_RNA from 1 species
GAAGUAGUCCAGAUGGCCGCUGCCCGCCUUCGCCAAGGCUUCGGCGGGGAGAGGAAAGUCCGGGCUCCACAGGGCAUGGUGCUGGAUAACGUCCAGCGGGGGUGACCCCAGGGAAAGUGCCACAGAGAGGAAACCGCCCGCCUUCGCUAAGGCUAUGGCGGGUAAGGGUGAAAGGGUGAGGUAAGAGCUCACCAGGUCCGGUGGCGACAUCGGAUGCUCGGUAAACCCCACCAGGAGCAAGGCCAAAUAGGGGAGCGUUAAGGACGGCCCGUCCGUGCUUCCGGGUUGGCUGCUUGACGCCGUCGGUAACGGCGGCGCUAGAGGAAUGGUCAUCACCCAACGCCGGGUAACCAGCGUUGGGAACAGAACCCGGCUUACGGUCUGCUUCGACC